rnacentral:lncRNA from 10 species
CGAGAGACGGCCAGGCGCGGUGGCUCACCUGGAUAUGAUAUUUCUGAGAUGACAAAAUUCUAGAAACGGAAGAUGGGCUAUGGUUGCCAGGGAUUAGGGAUAAGAUGGCGUUAGAGACAUAGGUGUGAAAGGGCCACACAGGGAUCUUCCUGGGGAUGCUAAGCAAGAUGGGCGGAGGCUAAGUAAGGCCACCGGAUGGCAUCAAAGUCCAUGUCCUUGUGUGAGACUGUGGUGUUCUGCAAAGACUCACUGUUAGGAAAAGUUGGGCAGAGGGAACAAGGGAUCGCUCUGUAUUAUUUCUUACAACUAUUAUGGCAACAGCAGUUUCUCUUUUUUUUGAGACAGGGUCCCCCUCUGUUGCCCAGGCUGUGGAAUGCAGUGGUGCGAUUGUACAGCACUCCAGUCUUAACCUCCUAGGCUUAAGUGAUCCUCCCACCACAGCCUCCCAAAGUGCUGUGAUUAGGAUUAGGGUUAGGUGGGGAUUAGGGGGCAUGAGCCACCAUGUCCAGCGGGCAAUAAAGUUUCAAUUAAAAAACAGCAACAUCUGCAGCCCAGCACGAUGUCCUUAAAAGACCAGAAACACAAUCAGCACACACCUGUCCACAGCUGGUGAGGCCAGAGGGCAGGUGUCCACCCCUCAGAGCCGUUUUCCCCAAAUGCCCUUCUCCAGCAUGUCCGGGUGGCCCACACAUCUGAGCUCCCAAAUUCAGGACCCUCCAGACUGCCUACCCCCAGCUGGGCAUCCAACUGCUAUCCACACCUCCAGUGCCCUCACACGCCCCAUCCCUGUCUCCACCACAAACACCCCACCCACCACACACCCCGUCCCCACCAUACAAACCCCGUCCUCCCCCACACACCCCAUCCCCCCACACACACCCCGUCCCCACCGCACACACCCCGUCCCCACCGCACACACCCCGUCCCCACCGCACACACCCCGUCCCCACCGCACACACCCCGUCCCCAGCACACACAC